UACGUAGGGGGCAAGCGUUAUCCGGAAUUAUUGGGCGUAAAGAGCUCGUAGGCGGUUUGUCGCGUCUGCCGUGAAAGUCCGGGGCUCAACUCCGGAUCUGCGGUGGGUACGGGCAGACUAGAGUGAUGUAGGGGAGACUGGAAUUCCUGGUGUAGCGGUGGAAUGCGCAGAUAUCAGGAGGAACACCAAUGGCGAAGGCAGAUCUCUGGGCCGUAACUGACGCUGAGGAGCGAAAGCAUGGGGAGCGAACAGG
rnacentral:rRNA from 1 species